rnacentral:rRNA from 1 species
UACGUAGGGAGCAAGCGUUGUCCGGAAUUACUGGGCGUAAAGCGUGCGCAGGCGGUGAUGUAAGACAGGUGUGAAAUCCCCGGGCUUAACCUGGGAACUGCAUUUGUGACUGCAUCGCUGGAGUACGGCAGAGGGGGAUGGAAUUCCGCGUGUAGCAGUGAAAUGCGUAGAUAUGCGGAGGAACACCGAUGGCGAAGGCAAUCCCCUGGGCCUGUACUGACGCUCAUGCACGAAAGCGUGGGGAGCAAACAGG